UGGGGAAUUUUGGACAAUGGGCGAAAGCCUGAUCCAGCAAUGCCGCGUGUGUGAAGAAGGCCUUCGGGUUGUAAAGCACUUUUGUCCGGAAAGAAAUCCUUGGCUCUAAUACAGUCGGGGGAUGACGGUACCGGAAGAAUAAGCACCGGCUAACUACGUGCCAGCAGCCGCGGUAAUACGUAGGGUGCAAGCGUUAAUCGGAAUUACUGGGCGUAAAGCGUGCGCAGGCGGUUUGCUAAGACCGAUGUGAAAUCCCCGGGCUCAACCUGGGAACUGCAUUGGUGACUGGCAGGCUAGAGUAUGGCAGGAGGGGGGUAGAAUUCCACGCGUAGCAGUGAAAUGCGUAGAGAUGUGGAGGAAUACCGAUGGCGAAGGCAGCCCCCUGGGCCAAUACUGACGCUCAUGCACGAAAGCGUGGGGAGCAAACAGGAUUAGAUACCCUGGUAGUCCACGCCCUAAAACGAUGUCAACUAGUUGUUGGGGAUUCAUUUCCUUAGUAACGUAGCUAACGCGUGAAGUUGACCGCCUGGGGAGUACGGUCGCAAGAUUAAAACUCAAAUGAAUUGACGGGGUCAUA
rnacentral:rRNA from 1 species